CUGCCAGUAGUCAUAUGCUUG
rnacentral:siRNA from 1 species